rnacentral:rRNA from 1 species
AAAGGAAUAGACGGGGACCCGCACAAGCGGUGGAGCAUGUGGAUUAAUUCGAAGCAACGCGAAGAACCUUACCAAGGCUUGACAUGGGGCCGAAAGGCAUGGAGACAUGCCCCCCCUCCGGGGCGGCCCACACAGGUGGUGCAUGGUUGUCGUCAGCUCGUGUCGUGAGAUGUUGGGUUAAGUCCCGCAACGAGCGCAACCCUUAUGUUUAGUAGCCAGCGGGCAAGGCCGGGCACACUAGAGAUACUGCCGUGGAUAACACGGAGGAAGGCGGGGAUGAGGUCAAAUCAUCAUGCCCCUUAUGUCUUGGGCGUCACACGUGCUACAAUGGCCCGAACAGAGUGAAGCGAGGCAGCGAUGCGGAGCGAAACACGAAAACGGGCCUCAGUUCGGAUUGCAGGCUGCAACCCGCCUGCAUGAAGCUGGAAUCGCUAGUAAUCGCGAAUCAGCAUGUCGCGGUGAAUACGUUCCCGGGUCUUGUACACACCGCCCGU